AUUGAACGCUGGCGGCAUGCCUUACACAUGCAAGUCGAACGGCAGCACGGGGGCAACCCUGGUGGCGAGUGGCGAACGGGUGAGUAAUGCAUCGGAACGUGCCCAGUAGUGGGGGAUAGCCCGGCGAAAGCCGGAUUAAUACCGCAUACGUACUGAGGUAGAAAGCGGGGGACCGAAAGGCCUCGCGCUAUUGGAGCGACCGAUGUCGGAUUAGCUUGUUGGUGGGGUAAUGGCCUACCAAGGCGACGAUCCGUAACUGGUCUGAGAGGACGACCAGUCACACUGGGACUGAGACACGGUCCAGACUCCUACGGGAGGCAGCAGUGAGGAAUAUUGCACAAUGGGAGGAAUCCUGAUGCAGCGACGCCGCGUGCGGGAUGAAGGGGCUUAGCCUCGUAAACCGCUGUCGGAGGGGACGAAUGGUACAUUUGAUGUACUGAGACGGUACCCUCAAAGGAAGGAUCGGCUAACUACGUGCCAGCAGCCGCGGUAAU
rnacentral:rRNA from 1 species